rnacentral:tRNA from 1 species
GGUCGCGUGGCCCAGUGGUUAAGGCAUCUGCUUUACAUUAUAAAACGCAGAGGAUCGCAGGUUCGAUCCCUGCCGCGAUCA